rnacentral:rRNA from 1 species
GAUGAACGCUGGCGGCGUGCCUAAUACAUGCAAGUCGAGCGAACGGACGAGAAGCUUGCUUUUCUGAUGUUAGCGGCGGACGGGUGAGUAACACGUGGAUAACCUACCUAUAAGACUGGGAUAACUUCGGGAAACCGGAGCUAAUAUCGGAUAAUAUUUUGAACCGCAUGGUUCAAAAGUGAAAGACGGUUUUGCUGUCUCUUAUAGAUGGAUCCGCGUUGGAUUAGCUAGUUGGUAAGGUAACGGCUUACCAAGGCGACGAUGCAUAGCCGACCUGAGAGGGUGAUCGGCCACACUGGAACUGAGACACGGUCCAGACUCCUACGGGAGGCAGCAGUAGGGAAUCUUCCGCAAUGGGCGAAAGCCUGACGGAGCAACGCCGCGUGAGUGAUGAAGGUCUUCGGAUCGUAAAACUCUGUUAUUAGGGAAGAACAUAUGUGUAAGUAACUGUGCACAUCUUGACGGUACCUAAUCAGAAAGCCACGGCUAACUACGUG